UACGUAGGGGGCAAGCGUUAUCCGGAUUUACUGGGUGUAAAGGGAGCGCAGACGGAAGUGCAAGUCAGAAGUGAAAGCCCGCGGCCCAACUGCGGGACUGCUUUUGAAACUGUAGUUCUAGAGUGCUGGAGGGGCAGGCGGAAUUCCUGGUGUAGCGGUGAAAUGCGUAGAUAUCAGGAGGAACACCGGUGGCGAAGGCGGCCUGCUGGACAGUAACUGACGUUGAGGCUCGAAAGCGUGGGGAGCAAAC
rnacentral:rRNA from 1 species